GGAGGGGUGGCCGAGUGGCUGAAGGCGCACGCUUGGAAAGCGUGUAAACGGGCGACCGUUUCGAGGGUUCGAAUCCCUCUCCCUCCGCCA
rnacentral:tRNA from 2 species